GUGCUGGACUCAGCAGCACAUAUACCAAAAUUGGAACUGUAUAGAGAGAAUUAUCAUGGCCCCUGCACAAAGAUGGUAUGCAAAUUCUUGAAGCAUUUCAUAUUUUC